UCGAGUGAAAGUUGGACAUUGACCGCCCGUUCUGUGGGGAUUGUGGGAGUAGUCGUGUUGUUGGCAGGCAUUACCGAAGGGGCAGUCAAUACGGAUAUCAAACGGGGCAAAUCACGAUAGGC
rnacentral:SRP_RNA from 12 species